rnacentral:rRNA from 1 species
UACGUAGGGUGCAAGCGUUGUCCGGAAUCAUUGGGCGUAAAGAGCGUGUAGGCGGCCCGAUAAGUCCGCUGUGAAAGUCCAGGGCUCAACCCUGGAAUGCCGGUGGAUACUGUCGGGCUCGAGUCCGGAAGAGGAGUGUGGAAUUCCUGGUGUAGCGGUGAAAUGCGCAGAUAUCGGGAGGAACACCGGUGGCGAAGGCGGUUCUCUGGGCCUGUACUGACGCUGAGGAGCGAAAGCGUGGGGAGCGAACAGG